rnacentral:rRNA from 1 species
UGAGCAAUCUGCCUUUCUCUUCGGAAUAAGCGUUGGAAACGACGUCUAAUGCCGAAUACGACCUCCUUUCGCAUGAUCGGGGGUGGAAAGCUCCGGCGGAGAAGGAUGAGCUCGCGGCCUAUCAGCUAGUUGGUGUGGGUAAUGGCCCACCAAGGCGACGACGGGUAGCCGGCCUGAGAGGGUCGACCGGCCACACGUGGGACUGAGACACGGCCCAGACCUCCGUACGGGAGCAGC